AGUGAACGCUGGCGGUAGGCCUAACACAUGCAAGUCGAACGGCAGCACAGUAAGAGCUUGCUCUUACGGGUGGCGAGUGGCGGACGGGUGAGGAAUACAUCGGAAUCUACUUUUUCGUGGGGGAUAACGUAGGGAAACUUACGCUAAUACCGCAUACGACCUACGGGUGAAAGCAGGGGAUCUUCGGACCUUGCGCGAUUGAAUGAGCCGAUGUCGGAUUAGCUAGUUGGCGGGGUAAAGGCCCACCAAGGCGACGAUCCGUAGCUGGUCUGAGAGGAUGGUCAGCCACACUGGAACUGAGACACGGUCCAGACUCCUACGGGAGGCAGCAGUGGGGAAUAUUGGACAAAGGGCGCAAGCCUGAUCCAGCCAUACCGCGUGGGUGAAGAAGGCCUUCGGGUUGUAAAGCCCUUUUGUUGGGAAAGAAAAGCAGCAGGUUAAUACCCCGCUGUUCUGACGGUACCCAAAGAAUAAGCACCGGCUAAUUUCGU
rnacentral:rRNA from 1 species